GAUGAACGCUGGCGGCGUACCUAAUACAUGCAAGUCGUACGGAAAGGCCCUUCGGGGUACUCGAGUGGCGGACGGCUGAGUAACGCGUGGGAACGUGCCCCAAAGUGAGGGAUAACGCACCGAAAGGUGUGCUAAUACCGCAUAUGGUCUUCGGAUUAAAGCUUCGGCGCUUUGGGAGCGGCCCGCGUACGAUUAGAUAGUUGGUGAGGUAAUGGCUCACCAAGUCGACGAUCGUUAGCUGGUCUGAGAGGAUGAUCAGCCAGACUGGGACUGAGACACGGCCCAGACUCCUUCGGGAGGCAGCAGUAAGGAAUCUUCCACAAUGGGGGCAACCCUGAUGGAGCAACGCCGCGUGCAGGAUGAAGGUUUUCGGAUCGUAAACUGCUUUUAUAAGUGAAGAAUAUGACGGUAACUUAUGAAUAAGGAUCGGCUAACUACGUGCCAGCAGCCGCGGUAAAAC
rnacentral:rRNA from 1 species